CCUACGGGAGGCAGCAGUGAGGAAUAUUGGUCAAUGGCCGGAAGGCUGAACCAGCCAAGCCGCGUGAAGGACGAAGGUGCCAAGCAUUGUAAACUUCUUUUGUCAAGGGACAAAAUCAGGCUCGAGAGCCUGACCGAGGGUACUUGAAGAAAAAGCAUCGGCUAACUCCGUGCCAGCACCCGCGGUAAUACGCAGGAUGCGAGCGUUAUCCGGUUUUAUUGGGUUAAAGGGGUGCUUAGGCGGACUGUUAAGUCAGCGGUAAAAGCCCGGGGCUAAACCCCGGAGUGCCGUUGAAACUGGCUGUCUUGAGUAGUGGAGAGGUAGGCGGAAUGCGCAGUGUAGCGGUGAAAGGCUUAGAUAUUGCGAAGAACUCCGAUUGCGAAGGCAGCUUACCAGCGGCGAACUGACGCUGAGGCACGAAAGCGUGGGUAUCGAACAGGAUUAGAUACCCCUGUAGUC
rnacentral:rRNA from 1 species